rnacentral:rRNA from 1 species
UACAGAGGUCCCAAGCGUUGUUCGGAUUCACUGGGCGUAAAGCGUGCGCAGGCGGCUUUGCAAGACAGAUGUGAAAUCCCCGGGCUCAACCUGGGAACUGCAUUUGUGACUGCAAGGCUAGAGUACGGUAGAGGGGGAUGGAAUUCCGCGUGUAGCAGUGAAAUGCGUAGAUAUGCGGAGGAACACCGAUGGCGAAGGCAAUCCCCUGGACCUGUACUGACGCUCAUGCACGAAAGCGUGGGGAGCAAACAGG